CAGAGCCGCGCCCCAAUAAUCUCCAGAGAUUAUUUCCGGGGCCACGAGAAUGGGAGAGAAGGCCGUGUCGCGGAAAAAAAAAAAAAAAGAAAAACCUGUACAUAUACGACUUGGACCAGCCCAAAAGAUGGCACAUGCAGAGGAGAGAGAGAGAGGACCUCCUCUCUCGUAGCAUCUGUUGCAUCGUGGUUCGACACCACCACCACCACCACCAUCACUGGCCGCACCACCAGAAGGCACCAUCACUACCACCGGCCCUGACGACCACCAGGUGCUAUCCACCUUCCGUGUCUUUCCCCAUCGUCGUCUUCGAAAAAACCUUCCUCUCCCCUCCCCGCUCGUCCCCUCCCCAUUAUUCCCCGAGAUUUCCACCAUCUGCGUCUCUGCGAUCCACCCUUCGCCCCAUCUCUCUCCGACAUUCGUGAUCCACAUUGGCCGUUCAUCGUCUUCCCUUCGGGAAGGAGAAGAAGAGACCUCUGGCAAGCCACCUUCUGCGGAGUACGAGAGGCUAAUUGUGACUGUGGGAUGAUUCCUUGUGUCCGGGAGGUGGAUGGGGUGGAAACGGACUGGAGCAAUUGCUGGUGGAUGCUGUCUGGAGAAUAUGCAGUAGGAUGGGGAAGAGUCUAGGAGGAUAGAUUAGAUGAAUUGGAAAGAUGAUAUUGGUGAUUUUCACAAAUCAUCAGUGAUAAGUUCUCUUCUGUAUAAUAAUAACAAGAGAAGUAUGAGUGAAUCACAGUCAUAAAGGAAGGGAGAAACUGGAAAUUUUCUUGUUCUCAACCGCCGCCGCCAACCGGUUCGCCCAUUUCAUUCGAGUUUUCAAAGUUUUCUCCGCCGUUAAUGGGACUGGCUGUUGUACUGGCGAAAAGAAAAGGUGGCGGAGGGAUGGCAGCGGUGGAAGGAAGGAAGAGGAGAAUGGCACGGCACACCGUGCAUUCUUCGUAGACUGGGUACACAGAGACACGCGAUGCUUCGAGGACACCAUCGAGAAAUAUCGAUCUUGCUAUGUCCACUGACCUGGGCCAAGUGUUUCGUCGAGGAUUGCGUUGCUUAGAAGUAGUAUCGACGAUAAUACUCCACUCUUGAUUGAAAAAGAAAAUUUUCAAAAAAAAAAAAAAUAUGAUAUACAUAUUCGCUAACUUAAUGAUAAAUGAACAGUUUACUUCAAACUUUGUCACAAGAUAAUAUCGAUCAAUAUGUAUAUUGAGACAUUAAUCGUUCAAUUUAUAUUAUACAAAGUAACAACCGGUUACUAUGUCGAGUAAUUAUUAGUUUGAAACGUAGAUAUCACGUUGGAACGGGUUGGAGGCAGGUAAUGCCAGAAAUAAUGAGUUGUAGUGAUACACUUGAGCGUUACUAAACGGCAGCCGCUAAGCGUGCUGUGCAUACGAAUUAUUCUAUAUACCAGUAAUUGCGGGCAUAGAAUCGUUGGAAAUGGUUCAUCGGUAAUGAUCGUCGUUUUUAACCGUUCACUUCGUCUAGCUUAUUUAACCAACGAUAACAUAAUUGUUGCCUGGUUAGUAGAUACGUAAUUAUCUUGCUCUUGGCCCCAUCGUGCAAUUAUUUAUUGCGUGAUACCUGUCGACCGGAGGAACAGGUUGCCACAGCUUGGGAAUUCGUUGUAGGCAUUCGAUUUCCGUGAUAUUCUUUUACUAGAUUAUUCACUAAAUUUCAAAUC